rnacentral:rRNA from 1 species
AUUGAACGCUGGCGACAGGACUAACACAUGCAAGUCGAACGAAUGGCGGAAGGGUGAGUAAUGUCCGGGAAACUGCCCGAUGGAGGGGGAUAACUCCUGGAAACGGUAACUAAUACCGCAUACCAUAGGAUGUGCCCAGAUGGGAUUAGCUAGUAGGUGGGGUAACGGCUCACCUAGGCGACGAUCCCUAGCUGGUCUGCGAGGAUGACCACCCACACUGGAACUGAGACACGGUCCAGAAUCCUACGGGAGGCAGCAGUGGGGAAUAUUGCUUAAUGGGGGCAAGCCGGCUGCAGACAUGCCGCGUUUAUCAAGAAUGGCUUCGGGUGGUAAAGUAUAUUAAGCGGGGAGGUGUUACCCGCAGAAUAAGCAACGGCUAACUACGGGCCAGCCGCCGCGGUAAUUC